rnacentral:rRNA from 1 species
GUAGGGCCCGAGCGUUAUCCGGAAUCAUUGGGGCGUAAAGAGCUCGUAGGCGGUUCAGCAAGUCGGCUGUGAAAGUUCGAGGCUCAACCUCGAAAUUGCAGUCGAUACUGCUGUGACUUGAAUUCGGUAGAGGAGAAUGGAAUUCCCGGUGUAGCGGUGAAAUGCGCAGAUAUCGGGAGGAACACCAGUAGCGAAGGCGGUUCUCUGGGCCGAUAUUGACGCUGAGGAGCGAAAGCGUGGGGAGCAAACAGGAUUAGAUACCCUGGUAGUCCACGCCGUAAACGUUGGAUGCUAGGUGUGGCGGUCUACCAACGACUGCCGUGCCGAAGCUAACGCAUUAAGCAUCCCGCCUGGGGAGUACGGCCGCAAAGGCUAA